rfam:Picea glauca, whole genome shotgun sequence.
CCGACCUUAGCUCAGUUGGUAGAGCGGAGGACUGUAGUGGGAUAUCAUGUCCUGAUGUAAUCCUUAGGUCGCUGGUUCGAAUCCGGCAGGUCGGA